GGAUGCGAUCAUACCAGCACGAAAGCACCGGAUCCCAUCGGAACUCUGAAGUUAAGCGUGCUUGGGCGAGAGUAGUACUAGGAUGGGUGACCUCCUGGGAAGUCCUCGUAUUGCAUUCC
rnacentral:rRNA from 1 species